GCGGGUAUAGCUCAGUGGUGGAGCAUCUCGUUGCCAACGAGAAUGUCGUCGGUUCGAAUCCGACUACCCGCU
rnacentral:tRNA from 1 species